UACGUAGGGGUGCAAGCGUUGUCCGGAAUUAUUGGGCGUAAAGAGCUCGUAGGCGGUUUGUCGCGUCUGCUGUGAAAACUCGGGGCUUAACCCCGGGCCUGCAGUGGGUACGGGCAGACUAGAGUGCGGUAGGGGAGACUGGAAUUCCUGGUGUAGCGGUGAAAUGCGCAGAUAUCAGGAGGAACACCGAUGGCGAAGGCAGGUCUCUGGGCCAUUACUGACACUGAGAAGCGAAAGCAUGGGGAGCGAACAGG
rnacentral:rRNA from 1 species